rnacentral:lncRNA from 1 species
UAUUGCUACAGCCCGAUCCAUAUAUAUGUAAUCCUCACAAUCAGGCCCUCUGCCUCUUUCAUAUAUUAAGCUUACAAUCAGACUCUCGGUCUAUCUCAGUCAUCAACCUCACAAAUCAGACCAUCGGUCUACCUCAGUCAUCAAUCUCACAAUCGCUCGGGCCAUCAGUAAAUCAGGGAACUCAGCCCAAAUAAUUUUUACAUUUUACAAAGUAAAGUGAUAAAACCAGAUUUAAACGAUAACAUGUAAAACACGAUUGAGGAUAUGCUUUCAAAAAAAUUUGAGUGAAGAAAAAUAGUGAAAAUGCCCCUAAGGGUCUCAACAAGUCUGCACAUGGCCCCAAACAUGGCAUACAACCCAAAAUAUAAUAGCAAUCUCUAAAAUAUAAAACAUCAUAAGAUUUCAAAUCAAAUAUGCGACUUAAUAGUCGUACGUGACGGACCAAGUCACAAUCCCCAAUGGUGCACGACUCCACGCUCGACAUUUAGCAUGUGCGUCACCUCAAAAUAGCACAACGAUGUGAAAUUCGGGGUUUCAAACCCUGAGGACAACAUUUAUAAUCAUUACUUAUCUUGAUCUGAUCCAAAAUCUAGCUCGCGAUGCCUUUGCCCUCACGAAUCGACUUCCGGAUGCUCCAUACUUGGCCGCAAUCAGUACAUAACUAUUAGAAUAUACUAAGGGAACGAAGCCCACUAGAAAACAUUCAAUUUACAUCAAAAUUUCCAAAAUUGCCCAAACCCGGCCCUCGGGCCCAUGUCUCGGAAUCUGACAAAAUUAAUAUUAAUGGAAUUCUCAUCCUCUCACGAGUCUAUACAUACCAAGAACAUCAAAAUCGGACCUCAAUUGCCCCCUCAAAUUCCUAAUUUACACUAUCCAAAUUCAAUUUCUAAUUCCCCAAUUUUAGGCUUUAAUUUUCACAUAUUUCAUGAUUAAACAAGUAACAAUCAGCAUAGGGUCGAGUAUAGAGUUCAAAAAUCUUACCUCCAAGUGUUUCCCUUCGAUUCCCUCUUUAAUCCUUCUCAAAAUCUCCAAAAAUUUGCUCAACAAUAGAGAAGAUAGACCAAAAUUCACGAAACUCACUUUUUAAACAUCCUGCCCCAGGUAAAAUUACCUUCUUCGUGAAGGCGACCUGCCUUUCGCGUUCGCGUAGACCAAAUUCACUGCCUCUACACUUUUCCCUUUGUGAAAGCGGACAACACCACGUGAACGUGUUGCUUCGCCAUACCAGGCUUUCGCGAACCCGAUGAAACUCGUUUGAACGCAUAGCACAUGGGCAUGGGGUGCCCAACGACCUUACUCCUAUACGUGAACGCGACCCCAGUCUCGCGUCCGCGAUGCACUUGAAUCACAAUCGCUGAUAGAUGAAGCUUAUGAAGAAAUGAUAGCAGAACUUGCGGAGGAUUCGGCUUCGCCCGGAAGN